AUUGAACGCUGGCGGCAGGCCUAACACAUGCAAGUCGAACGCGUGGCGGACGGGUGAGUAAUGUCUGGGAAACUGCCUGAUGGAGGGGGAUAACUACUGGAAACGGUAGCUAAUACCGCAUACCAUCGGAUGAGCGCAGAUGGGAUUAGCUAGUAGGUGGGGUAAAGGCUCACCUAGGCGACGAUCCAUAGCUGGUCUGAGAGGAUGACCAGCCACACUGGAACGGAGACACGGUCCAGACUCCUACGGGAGGCAGCAGUAGGGAAUAUUGCACAAUGGGCGAAAGCCUGAUGCAGCAAUGCCGCGUGAAUGAAGAAGGCCUUCGGGUUGUAAAGUACUUUCAGCGGGGAGGCGUUACCCGCAGAAGAAGCACCGGCUAACUCCGUGCCAGCAGCCGCGGUAAUUC
rnacentral:rRNA from 1 species